AUUGAACGCUGGCGGCAGGCCUAACACAUGCAAGUCGAACGAGUGGCGGACGGGUGAGUAAUGUCUGGGAAACUGCCUGAUGGAGGGGGAUAACUACUGGAAACGGUAGCUAAUACCGCAUACCAUCAGAUGUGCCCAGAUGGGAUUAGCUUGUUGGUGGGGUAACGGCUGACCAAGGCGACGAUCCCUAGCUGGUCUGAGAGGAUGACCAGCCACACUGGAACUGGGGCAUGGUCCAGACGCCUACGGGAGGAGGCAGUGGGGAAUAUUGCACAAUGGGCGCAAGCCUGAUGCAGCAAUGCGGCGUGUAUGAGGAAGGCCUUCGGGUUGUAAAGUACUUUCAGCGGGGAGGCGUUACCCGCAGAAGAGGCACCGGCUAACUCCGUGCCAGCAGCCGCGGUAAUUC
rnacentral:rRNA from 1 species